CCGCCAUUAGCUCAUCGGCAGAGAGCGUCAGCUUUCGAAACUGGCUGUGUGGGGCCCGGGUCCCCGAUGGCAAUCCA
rnacentral:tRNA from 12 species